GGGCCGUUAGCUCAGCUGGCAGAGCAACUGACUCUUAAUCAGUAGGUCCUCGGUUCGACCCCGAGACGGCCCACCA
rnacentral:tRNA from 1 species